rnacentral:lncRNA from 1 species
UAUGCAUUAAUUAAAUCAACUUUAUGUCUCUUUAAAAAAAUUAGAUUUAUCUUCAUUAUUUUAUUUUUUAUAUAUAAAUAUGAAAAAUAAACGGUUUUUAGGUAAUCUAUGCCAAAUGCCAAGAGACAUUUACGUAACUUAUGCUGUAGCAGUAUAACAUACAUCCUAUGUAGGAUCCUGGCUUCUCUCUUUUCUUCCCAAUCUUGAAAGUUGAGGAUCAUGUUAUCAGGAAGGAUCAUAGUUGUAUAUAUUCCAGUAAAACUGGGAGCCACACUUUGUUUUAAGUUCAACAACAUGCUUGAAACUCACCACAUAUAAAGUAAUACCAUGAUCGUUUCUUCUUCAUGUAACUGAUCACGUUCAAUUUCAAUGUCUCCUUUCGUUAUUAAUUUAUUUCGUAUGUGUAUCUUGAAAGUACAAUGCGAUAAGCUUAAAGUCACAAACAGCAGGAGUUUAAAGAAAUUUAAUUGAUUCAUGCAAUUAUAUUAAAAGAUCUCUUCUCUCUUUCUAACAGUGGCAUCUUUUAUACCAAAAGCCAUCCGGGUUUAAAAGUAAUGAGAGAUCCUUAAAGAUUGUAAGGACGUAAAAAAUUGAAGAUAAAGGAAAGAAGUAAAAUAAGUAGAGGAGGUACUGACCAGCUCUCCAUAAGGACCUUGUCUUGAUUCAUGAGACUGAGGGCGGAAAGAGUGACGCCAUCUUCAUUCUUGGUCAAGAAUUUGCAGACAGGGCCAAGACCAUAGAGUCUCUCCACUUUGCCAUCAGGAAGAGUGCGCAAGGAGCAAGUGAGGAUGGAGUAGGUAGCCAGGAGGCGCAAGAUGCGGUCUAGCAUGACAGGUGCAUCGGGGUUGCUGGUGGGGAGCUGGGAAGCCAAUUCUUUUGGGGAGAGGAAAGCACCUGGGCCAGCUUUGGCCAUGAUCUCCAGCAGGUCAAGUUCUAUGGCCGACUUGAGGACCAUGGGAAGGACUGAGGCACUGGUGAGUUGCAUGGCGAAUAAGUUGGCUUCCUCAUCCGAGACUUGGGUGGGAGUCAUUUGGGUUUCACCGGUUGAACCCAUUGUUUUGGGAUAUUGGAG